rnacentral:misc_RNA from 1 species
GUACCCGGAUCAACCAACUGCUUGUCUGGCAGGGCAGCUCGUAUCUGUGAUGGCGGAGUAAUGGAAAUUAUUGUGGAUAAGCCCUCGAAAACUGACGAUUUUUUAGAAAGUUGGUGAUUUUUUUGUUAAGUGGUGGUACAAUGUCAGCCACACGUGAAGGCUCAGGGGCUACUGAGUCCCAUCAUUUCCAGUACGUAGGGCCCUACAGGCUAGAAAAGACAUUAGGCAAGGGGCAAACAGGUUGAACGAGAAAUUGCCAUCAUGAAGCUGAUUGAGCAUCCACAUGUACUAGGGCUGUACGACGUGUACGAGAAUAAAAAAUAUUUAUACCUUAUCCUUGAACACGUGUCUGGAGGGGAACUAUUUGAUUACCUUGUGAAGAAAGGACGGCUAACUCCAAAAGAGGCGCGGAGGUUUUUUCGACAAAUUAUAUCCGCCCUAGAUUUCUGCCACAGCCAUUGCAUAUGUCAUCGUGAUCUAAAACCUGAGAAUCUACUCCUGGAUGAGAAAAAUAAUAUUCGUAUUGCAGACUUUGGUAUGGCGUCUUUACAAGUUGAAGGAUCGAUGUUAGAGACAUCCUGUGGUUCACCUCACUACGCAUGCCCUGAAGUAAUCCGAGGUGAAAAGUAUGAUGGAAGACGAGCAGAUGUGUGGAGCUGUGGAGUGAUACUGUAUGCUUUACUUGUGGGUGCCUUACCGUUUGACGAUGAUAAUCUUCGCCAGCUUCUAGAAAAGGUGAAACGAGGAGUGUUCCAUAUUCCCCACUUUGUACCUCCAGAGUGCCAGGACCUUCUUAGAGGAAUGAUUGAAGUAAAUCCCGAAAAGAGAAUGAAGUUGGCUGACGUCCUUAGGCACCCUUGGACAAUGGCGGGAAGUAAGACCGAUCUGGAUCAGGAAUUACCCAUGAGAGAGGUAGUUCAGACUCAUAUUAUUCCAUCAUUUGAUGAUCUGGACCCGGAUGUACUAGCCAGUAUGACGUCAUUAGGGUGUUUCAAAGAUAAGGAGAAAUUACUUCAGGAACUUCUCAGUGAGAGUCAUAACACGGAAAAGGUUAUAUACUUCUUGCUGCUAGACCGAAAAAGGCGGAAGCCAGCUUAUGAAGACGAAACUGAAAUAAUCAUCAGAAACCGUUCAGAGUCAGGUAUAUCUGAUCCCCCGAGAAAAAGGGUAGAUACCUGCCAAGUAAAUGGACGGUCAGGACCUAGAUACUCUUUUGAUAUGUUAAGUGACGGGUCUCCUUUAACUUCUAGACGGUUUCCUCAUAGCCGUUCUAGAAGAGGAAGUUCUACUGGAAGUUUGCACGCCAGUAGUCCUAGCGCCUCACCCCUGAGCUCCCCUAAACCCACCCCAAGAGGAACACCCGAUGAAAGUCCCCUAAACACCCCUCCUGGAUCUCCCAGCCUCAGUCAGCCCUACUGGAAAUCUCGACUCAACACUAUCAAGAACAGUUUUCUCGGCAGUCCGCGCUUCCACAGAAGGAAACUUCAGACUCCGUCAGGUUCCGAUGAAAUGGGCCCCGAUUCUUCUCCAGAGUUAACCAAGAAAUCGUGGUUUGGAAGCCUUAUGGGCGGUGACAGAGAAGAAACACACGUGAUUCUCGUCAAAGACAGGCCUCUAAGCACAGUGAAAGCAGAUUUAAUUCACGCAUUCUUAUCGAUAGCCGAUCUCAGUCACAGCGUCGUGUCGCCAAUGUCUUUUCGAGUGGAGUAUAAAAGGCCAGGAGGCACUUCCAUGUUCCAGCGGAACGUGCGCUUCCACGUGGACAUAACGAAAGUCCAGGCAGCCGGGACACAAGACUCCACUGGAACCUCAGACAGAGCCAGUGAAAAACCAUCAGUCUACUGUAUCAGCUUUACCUUGAUAGCAGGCCCUAUUCGAAGAUUCAAGCGAAUGUGCGAACACAUCCAGACCCAAAUUCUUGGACGCCGUCCAAACCAUUCUCCUCGUAUCUGUCGAAGACCCACGGCAGAACUUAGCGACAGUUCCUCGUGCGGUUCCGAGAGUCUGUCUCCUACACCCACCCGGACCCAGGUAAGUGAUGACAUGGCUGUCACCAUGGCAACUUCGACCGGAACAUCUGUUAUUAUGGCUCGGUGUAAAUCAGACCAAGAUGCUACGGCGGACAUUUUCGAACGCGAAGCACGAGCAUCGAGCCAGCGGCGUGGAAUGACCAAUGGUAGGCGAAUGAGUUAUGAUAACAAGAUGGGUAAAGACACUGUGUGAGUUUGUUGAGAAAGAAACAAAUUUCGGUCAUGUGACAGACCAUCUGAACCUAAUACUGAAUUCAAUAAGAGUCUCAGUUGUUGCAGGAUUCAAACAAUUGUGAGCCAAGUUCAGAUUUCGCCGGGAAAAAUUUCAUUUCUCGAGCGUUAUCUCCUUUCUUGGACUUGUAACAUCGUGCUUGCAUUCGUCAUGUGGUAGCUUCCUAUAUACUGCAAUUACCCUGUCUAGUGAACAGAACUCUUGGAUUAGAUUCUAACCACUGUCUUGUAGUUUUCUGAAGGAAGUGUCGUGGACCAGUAGGAACAGUUAUCCUGAUGAUCAGUUUCAAAUCUGGCUGCUGAACCGUGGAGAAGCAGAAGCAACUAUAAGAUUUCGUCACCUGAACAGGAAACGUAAUUUAAAACUGUAAUAUGAUCAACUGAAUCAUUAGCUGUUGUUAUAAGAAGGCACGAGUACAUAGCAGUUUCGUUGGUGUGAUCAUUUCCUGAACAAUCAGUUGAUGAACAGUCAGUGGUCUGUGUCCUGUUUGUUCCGCAUUAUUACUAGAGAAAACAAAAGAGCUGGUUUGGUGUGAAGAGAACUGUUGAUUGUGUGUCAGUUGUUAAGUUUUUGACUCGUUUCAAAUCCUUAUUCAAGUUUAAAGAAAUCAUUUAGAAUACGCUAAUCAAAAUGGGAUAGAAAAUAAAUUUACCAUAAUUGUUAUCUUCAUUAUCACAAUAAGUGGGAGUGGCAUUAGCAACGACAGUAAUAUGACAAAAAAAUAUCCAUGUUAUCCAAUCUUUCCAAUUAAUACUUGAAAAAGAAAUCAAUACAACAACAGUUAAUUUACUGACAAUCAAACUAUGCUGUUAAAUUUGAAUUAUUAUACAUAGUUAAAAAUCCAUUAAAUUGUCCCAUCUUUCAGAAUUUUUGUUCAGUAUGUGUGUAUUUAAUAUCAGAUACUUUCGUUUACUGACAUAUUAUACUGAUAUUUUCGUACUCUCCUCACUCGCAUCAUUUUCGUAUCACGGAAAUCUAACAAAGCUCCCUUCCUUUUCUUCAAUAUUUUUUAUAUAUAAAUUGAUGUGUAAAAUGCGAUAAUUUAAAAUCAGUUUCUUUUUUUCUCAUAAAACGACCAUCUUUAAAAGACACCUGUUCAGGACUAGUAUUUCCACACUCCCACGGCUGUUCCGGUUGGUCAGGCGUAGGUUUAUGGAUUUACAACGCCAAACUCGAGGGUUCGAUUCCCCGUGAUGAGCAGAGUGCAGAUAACCCAUUGUUUAGCUUGACGCUGAAACAAACACACUCUAUACGUUUAUAAUAGAGCUGUCGGAAAAAUGCAGUUAGACUAUAUUCAAACUAAGGUGUUACUUUAUGUAAAAGAAAGAGAGGUGAGACAGGUAAAAGUGAUAAUUCGGAACGUUCUCAAUAAAAGUCCAAAUCCCUAGGUGUUGUGUGCAUCCUAUCAACAGGCAGAAAAGAGAACAAACGUCCAGCACACUCAGUAAACACAGGGUACUAUGAAUGUUUGGAAACUGUAUUGAGAUUUAUGCUUGUCUUGUUGUUGUUGUUUUUUUUGAGUGAAUUUAAGAAAUCAUUUUGCAGACUUAACUAAAGUAUUUGAAAUUGAAAUUAAUUUCGUGGCAACCAGGUCAGCUUGUCUCAAAUAAACUGAUAAAUUUUGUUAAACUGUGGCAAAGGUAAAGUGGGAUUUUUGUGUAGUAUAAUUCAUGAUUUAAAAUGACCAAUGCAAUUAUAUCAGUAUUGUUACUGAGAGAAAAACCCUUAAAAAACGGCAUACAUUACAAUGCUUAAGGUACAAGCUUAUGUAUGGACAAACGAGCACGUAACUAUAUUAAAAUCAGGUUGCAUACCGCAGUGAGCUUGAACUUUUACAUUAUCUUACAAAAAAAUUUUUAACAUUCUCAUGACUUUCGAAGCUCACUGUCAUUCAGUGCGUCACCUACCUUAGACCUUUCACGGAAGAUUAUAAUUACAAACGCAUAUCUUAAAAAAAUAAUUUCUCUUUUAAAACAACAAAAUAUUCUCAUUCAACACCUAAAUAAUUAAACAAUUAUUUCUAAAGCAUAUAAAACCUUUUUUCUCAAAAUUUAGCUAAAUCUUUCUUGCUCUGCAAAUGAUUUUGGGUAUCACACUGUGAUAUAUAUACUAAACACACACAGUUAAUGUAUACAUACAAAAAGUUUCAAGUCGUUCAACAUCGUCUUAAUGUGCUUCAGUGCGUUACUCUGUUUGUGUUGAGCUGAAGGUUUCUCUGAAGAAUAACGAAGCAGACUAAUAUUAGGUGAAGUAAAAAUACUUGUAUUGACACAUUUUGCUAACGUUUGGUCCUUUUUAGUGUUUAUUUAUUAUAAUCAUAUUAUGUUGUGUACUGUUUUCUGAGCACAAUUUGUGUUUGUAGUUUAUGUUUCUAAUGUUGUAGUUUUUUUUUAUUUUUUGCUUAUUUCGGUGUAAUUGUUUGUGCAGUUACUAAUGAUGUAUAAAUUCCAAUUAUCUUGUAAUAAUCUACAGUUUUUAGAGCUUUUGUAUUUUUCAGUAAAUUUCAUGGAGCUAAUAUUUACGAUUGUAAGUUGAUCCGUCACACAGUUUUUAAAACUGUGUUCAAUAAUAAUAACAAUAAAUAAUACAAAUCUGUUCCCUUCUAAAUCAAAGUAUUAAAUGAUGUUCAGGCAAACAUAAACGUUAAAAUAAACUAUGUGAUCCUUGUGAUUGUGUAGUGUCUAGAAAUAUAUAGUUGUAGACUUACCGCCCCCCCCCCAGUGGCACAGCGGUAUGUAUGCGGACUUACAACGCUAGAAACCGGGUUUCGAUACCCGUGGUGGGCAGAGCACAGAUAACCCAUUGUGUAGCUUUGUGUUUAAUUACAAACACACAAACAAGUUGUAGACUUUUUAGAAAUGGAGCUUGUGUCGUAACAAAAGCUGCUUCAGUUUCAACUUAGAAAGAGAAAUAUAAUUACCGAGGCGCGUGAUUAAGUUCAGACCUGCUUAAAAAUGCAUUCAAAACUGAAUUUAUUUCUCCUGAAAACUUUAAAAAAACAACAUCUGAAUGAACUUCAAAUUGGACCCGUCUGUGAAUUCCAUGACAAAAUACAUGGCCAUUACAUUUCAUGUUGCCAUAUGUUCCGCAGACAUCAAUCAAUUUCUUGCCUUUCAAGAUUCAGCAAGUUUCAUAAUAGAAGUUUGCUUCGCAAAGUUUAUUAACAUAUACAAUAAAUAAUGAUAUAAAUUAUAAAAGAAUACAACGUCUCUUUCAGGUGGUACUUUAUUCUUAAAUUCCAGUUCGUAGUGCAGUCUUAGUGAAAGUGUGUUCGAGUUCAAAGUUGUUCAUUUUAGGAACAUAACUUGUGGUGCUGAGUGCAUAUAUCUAAUAGAAGAGACCUUGUAAUAUUUGUUUCUGGGUGAUUAGAAAUGACCGAUGGUUGAAAAGUAAAGAAAUAACAGGCACGUGCUCUUUGCUUGUCCUGAAUAUCUUUAACGUAGAUCUUCGAAUUGUCAUUUGUUUGAAAUUUGUAAUAUUCAUUGGAGAAAACUCUUAGCAAGAGCUAAGUCUACCCUAUUAACUAACUUCAAUUCUACAAUUUUUAUAGUUUACAAAAAAAAUUCUCCUUUCACUUUCUUUAAGAAUCGUGAAAGACAAAAAUGUCUCCUGCUUUACUUCGAAAAUAAUAACUAUAAAUGUUUGAACUUUUAUUAAAACACGCAGUUCUACACAAUAUAUCAAGUCAAAUAGAUUUCGUUAUGGUUUAUCAGGUUCACAGAUGUCUAACCCUCUAUGUAAGGCUACUUUUGUUGUUAUGAUAAAAAACAUCACGGGCAUCACAAAAGAAGGAUAUAAAGGGAUUGCCAUAGUGAUACAGAGACACGGAACAUUACAUUUAUCAGUAUCUUAAAAUAAUCUUGAUUCAACAUCUGGAGUAGGUAUGGGCUUGUAAUCUUUGUAUAUUUUUGUUCAAGAAAGCUGAGCUUCAUAAAUGUUAUUCGAAAUAUGUUAUGUACAGUGUAUAAAAUAGAAUGAUGUACAUUUAGUGCUGAUGGUGUUGUCAAACCUACCGUUUCUUAGGUAGAGUGAAGUAUAUGAGAUAUGGUUAUAAAUCACAUUCCAUCGGCA